rnacentral:rRNA from 1 species
CAAUCUCCUAGUGUUGAUGAACCAGUCUAUACUCUUGAUAUUUAUGAUCCAAGAAAUUGGGAUAAUCUUGAAAAUAAAGCAAGAGAUGUAUUAGUUGAGAAAGGGCCAAUGAGAGAGGAAGAGGAUAAAAUGGAAUACCGUGUAGAUGAUGCAGGAAGACAUUUUUCCUAUGCUCACUAUCAUAGGAAAUUAAGCAAU